rnacentral:miRNA from 1 species
UCUCGGACCCUCAACGGAAGG